AACGAACGCUGGCGGCAUGCUUCAUACAUGCAAGUCGAACGGUUGUAGCAAUACAAUAGUGGCGAACGGGUGCGUAACACGUGGAUAAUCUGCCCCUUGGCGGGGGAUAUCGGCUGGAAACGGCCGGCAAUACCGCAUGUGGCCUGUAGGUCUUCGGACCCGCAGAAGAAAGGCGCUUCACGGCGUCGCCAAGGGAUGAGUCCGCGGCCCAUUAGCUAGUUGGUGAGAUAAUAGCCCACCAAGGCUUUGAUGGGUAGCCGAGCUGAGAGGUUGAUCGGCCACACUGGGACUGAGACACGGCCCAGACACCUACGGGUGGCAGCAGUAGGGAAUAUUGGACAAUGGGCGCAAGCCUGAUCCAGCAAUGCCGCGUGAGUGACGAAGGAUUUCGGUCUGUAAAGCUCUUUUCUGAGGGAAGAAAUGACAUGUUAGGAAAUGAUCAUGUCUUGACGGUACCUCAGGAAUAAGGGACGGCUAACUCCGUG
rnacentral:rRNA from 1 species